AUUUUGUUUUAAAGUCGCAAAAUGGGAAAACAUUUCAAGAAUUUUUUGAUAAAAAACAACGGUUUAUUUUACAAAUGAAAGCUGCAGGAAUACGUCCAGUGGUUCCUUAAACGAUGUACCUUGAUAUUUAUCUUUUAAAACUUAUAUAAAAUGGGAAAUUAUCCAGAUACGAAACGAAAACACGAGGAUUCUACGCUUGAGGAAAAACAAGAACAAAGUGUCGUAGAAUUGCCCAAAAAGUAUGUACAUUUUGUGAGAUUUAUGCUAUCUAUUUUGUUGUAAAUAAUACUAUAUCUUUAAGGAAAGUGGCAUUACCUGAUUUGGGCGAAAUAUUUUGAGUUGAAGUGGUCUUCAGCAGCUAAAUUUUACACUACAAGACUCGGU